AUGCCAACGACGACGACAAGGGCGACCGUGAUGCUGGUGUUGCUAAUAGCGCUGCUCGGCCGGCCGUCUCCGGCGGCGGCGCAGCUGGGGGACGCCCACAAGUGCCGCGACACGUGCCUGGAGGGGUGCACCGGGUGGGUGGUGGUGUGCCACGUGUCGUGCGCCAGCGCCUGCUCGGGGGCCGGCGGCAUCGGCAUCAUGAGCAUCGACAACGGCAUCCCGCCGGACCACCCCAACCCCGACGAUCUCCCCAAGCCGCCGCCGCUGCCGGACCUUGUCCAUCCCCUCCGAGGAGCCGGCGGCAUCGCCUUCAGCCCCGCGCCGUCACCGGCAGCAUCAGAAUCAGAAUCAUCAUCAUCGUCGUCGACAUCGGAUGAUGAUUAA
rnacentral:rRNA from 1 species